rnacentral:rRNA from 1 species
GUGCCAGCAGCCGCGGUAAUACGUGGGGACCGAGCGUUGUCCGGAAUUACUGGGCGUAAAGGGCGUGCAGGUGGUUCGGUAAGCUUGGCGUGAAAGCCCCCGGCCCAACCGGGGAGGGUCGUCGAGGACUGUCGGACUUGAGGGGCGCAGGGGUCGGUGGAAUUCCGGGUGUAGUGGUGAAAUGCGUAGAGAUCCGGAGGAACACCAGUGGCGAAGGCGGCCGACUGGGCGCACCCUGACACUGAGACGCGAAGGCGUGGGGAGCGAACGGGAUUAGAUACCCCGGUAGUCCACGCAGUAAACGAUGUCGACUAGGCGUGGGGGGACUUGACCCCCUCCGUGCCGGAGCCAACGCGGGAAGUCGACCGCCUGGGGAG